rnacentral:lncRNA from 1 species
AAGAGAGAUUGAAAGAUAAAUACUUUGAUGAGCAUAGUGAAAAGAUGACAAGGAGAAGUUUCUUUGAUUGAGUGGAAUAAUAACCAAAUAAAAAUAUGGCACCAAAUGAAUUACUAAGGGAUUUUGAGAAGAGAUUUAAAUAACUCCUAUUAUCUAAGAAGCACCUUGUAGAAGUGAAGAAAUCAAAGUUAUUCUUGUAAGCUG